ACUCCUACGGGAGGCAGCAGUAGGGAAUCUUCCACAAUGGGCGCAAGCCUGAUGGAGCAACACCGCGUGAGUGAAGAAGGGUUUCGGUCUCGUAAAGCUCUGUUGUUAAAGAAGAACACGUAUGAGAGUAACUGUUCAUACGUUGACGGUAUUUAACCAGAAAGUCACGGCUAACUACGUGCCAGCAGCCGCGGUAAUACGUAGGUGGCAAGCGUUAUCCGGAUUUAUUGGGCGUAAAGAGAGUGCAGGCGGUUUUCUAAGUCUGAUGUGAAAGCCUUCGGCUUAACCGGAGAAGUGCAUCGGAAACUGGAUAACUUGAGUGCAGAAGAGGGUAGUGGAACUCCAUGUGUAGCGGUGGAAUGCGUAGAUAUAUGGAAGAACACCAGUGGCGAAGGCGGCUACCUGGUCUGCAACUGACGCUGAGACUCGAAAGCAUGGGGUAGCGAACAGGAUUAGAUACCCUGGUAGGAUAGCG
rnacentral:rRNA from 1 species